CCUACGGGAGGCUGCAGUGAGGAAUAUUGGUCAAUGGACGGAAGUCUGAACCAGCCAUGCCGCGUGCAGGAAGACGGCUCUAUGAGUUGUAAACUGCUUUUGUACAAGGGUAAACCUGAAUACGUGUAUUCAGCUGAAAGUACUGUACGAAUAAGGAUCGGCUAACUCCGUGCCAGCAGCCGCGGUAAUACGGAGGAUCCAAGCGUUAUCCGGAUUUAUUGGGUUUAAAGGGUGCGUAGGCGGAUUGAUAAGUUAGAGGUGAAAUGUCCGAGCUUAACUCGGGAACUGCCUGUAAUCCUGUGGAUCUAGAGAGUAGAUGCGGUAGGCGGAAUGUAUGGUGUAGCGAUGAAAUGCUUAGAGAUCAUACAGAACACCGAUUGCGAAGGCAGCUUACCAAUCUAUAUCUGACGUGGAGGCACGAAAGCGUGGGUAUCGAACAGGAUUAGAUACCCGUGUAGUC
rnacentral:rRNA from 1 species